rnacentral:rRNA from 1 species
CACGUAGGGCGCAAGCGUUGUCCGGAAUUAUUGGGCGUAAAGAGCUCGUAGGCGGUCUGUUACGUCCGCUGUGAAAACUCGGGGCUUAACCCCGAGCCUGCAGUGGAUACGGGCAGACUAGAGGUAGGUAGGGGAGAAUGGAAUUCCCGGUGUAGCGGUGAAAUGCGCAGAUAUCGGGAGGAACACCGGUGGCGAAGGCGACUACCUGGCCUGUUCUUGACGCUGAGGCGCGAAAGCUAGGGGAGCAAACGGG